rnacentral:rRNA from 1 species
UUUUCCAGGCAAAUCCGGAAAAUCAAGGCUGAGGCGUGAUGACGAGGCACUACGGUGCUGAAGCGACAAAUGCCCUGCUUCCAGGAAAAGCCUCUAAGCAUCAGGUAACAUCAAAUCGUACCCCAAACCGACACAGGUGGUCAGGUAGAGAAUACCAAGGCGCUUGAGAGAACUCGGGUGAAGGAACUAGGCAAAAUGGUGCCGUAACUUCGGGAGAAGGCACGCUGAUAUGUAGGUGAAGCGACUUGCUCGUGGAGCUGAAAUCAGUCGAAGAUACCAGCUGGCUGCAACUGUUUAUUAAAAACACAGCACUGUGCAAACACGAAAGUGGACGUAUACGGUGUGACGCCUGCCCGGUGCCGGAAGGUUAAUUGAUGGGGUUAGCGGUAACGCGAAGCUCUUGAUCGAAGCCCCGGUAAACGGCGGCCGUAACUAUAACGGUCCUAAGGUAGCGAAAUUCCUUGUCGGGUAAGUUCCGACCUGCACGAAUGGCGUAAUGAUGGCCAGGCUGUCUCCACCCGAGACUCAGUGAAAUUGAACUCGCUGUGAAGAUGCAGUGUACCCGCGGCAAGACGGAAAGACCCCGUGAACCUUUACUAUAGCUUGACACUGAACAUUGAGCCUUGAUGUGUAGGAUAGGUGGGAGGCUUUGAAGUGUGGACGCCAGUCUGCAUGGAGCCGACCUUGAAAUACCACCCUUUAAUGUUUGAUGUUCUAACGUGGGCCCCUUACCGGGGUUGCGGACAGUGUCUGGUGGGUAGUUUGACUGGGGCGGUCUCCUCCUAAAGAGUAACGGAGGAGCACGAAGGUUGGCUAAUCCUGGUCGGACAUCAGGAGGUUAGUGCAAUGGCAUAAGCCAGCUUGACUGCGAGCGUGACGGCGCGAGCAGGUGCGAAAGCAGGUCAUAGUGAUCCGGUGGUUCUGAAUGGAAGGGCCAUCGCUCAACGGAUAAAAGGUACUCCGGGGAUAACAGGCUGAUACCGCCCAAGAGUUCAUAUCGACGGCGGUGUUUGGCACCUCGAUGUCGGCUCAUCACAUCCUGGGGCUGAAGUAGGUCCCAAGGGUAUGGCUGUUCGCCAUUUAAAGUGGUACGCGAGCUGGGUUUAGAACGUCGUGAGACAGUUCGGUCCCUAUCUGCCGUGGGCGCUGGAGAACUGAGGGGGGCUGCUCCUAGUACGAGAGGACCGGAGUGGACGCAUCACUGGUGUUCGGGUUGUCAUGCCAAUGGCACUGCCCGGUAGCUAAAUGCGGAAGAGAUAAGUGCUGAAAGCAUCUAAGCACGAAACUUGCCCCGAGAUGAGUUCUCCCUGACUCCUUGAGAGUCCUGAAGGAACGUUGAAGACGACGACGUUGAUAGGCCGGGUGUGUAAGCGCAGCGAUGCGUUGAGCUAACCGGUACUAAUGAACCGUGAGGCUUAACCUU